CCUACGGGUGGCAGCAGUGGGGGAUAUUGCACAAUGGGGGAAACCCUGAUGCAGCGACGCCGCGUGUGGGAAGACGGUCCUCUGGAUUGUAAACCACUGUCCCCCGGGACGAAGAUGACGGUACCUGGGGAGGCAGCUCCGGCUAACUACGUGCCAGCAGCCGCGGUAAUACGUAGGGAGCGAGCGUUGUCCGGAAUUACUGGGUGUAAAGGGCGCGUAGGCGGGAUAUUAAGUUGAAUGUAUAAACUACAGGCUUAACCGAUAGACGCGUUCAAUACUGAUAUUCUUGAGUGAAGUAGAGGCAGGCGGAAUGCCUGGUGUAGCGGUGAAAUGCGUAGAGAUUAGGAGGAACACCAGUGGCGAAGGCGGCCUGCUGGGCUUUAACUGACGCUGAGGCUCGAAAGCGUGGGGAGCAAACAGGAUUAGAUACCCCUGUAGUC
rnacentral:rRNA from 1 species